UUAAGGGCGUAUGGUGGAUGCCUUGACUUUAAGAGGCGAUGAAGGACGUGGCGUUGCUGCGAUAAGCUUCGGGGAGGUGCUUAGCUACCUUUGAUCCGGAGAUUUCCGAAUCUUUUAUCUUUAUGAUAAAAGAGCAUACCCUGGGAAGUGAAACAUCUCAGUACCAGGAGGAAUAGAGACAAAUAUGUAUUUCCUUAGUAGCGGCGAGCGAAAAGGAAGAAGCCCAAACCGUUCUCGCAAGAGGGCGGGGUUGUAAGAUGACAAUGUAGUUUACUAGGAGAGUUAAAAAAUAAAUUAUUAGUUGAAGUUGCUGGAAAGCGACACCGUAGGGGGUGAUAGUCCCGUAAACGAAAAUAAUUUAUCUCUUUUAUUGUUAUUCUUGAGUACCCCAGGACAUGAAUGGCCGGGGGGAAUCUAGCGGAACUAACCGCUAAGGCUAAAUACUCUUAAAGAUCGAUAGUGAACAAGUACCGUGAGGGAAAGGUGAAAAGCAGCCCGAUUAGGGCGGUGAAAUAGACCUGAAACCAUAUGUCUACAAGGAGUCGGAGCAGGUAUUUAUAUCUGCAACGGCGUGCCUAUUGAAGAAUGAGCCAACGAGUUUAUUCAUACUGCAAGGCUAAGCUGGCUAAAACAGCAGAGCCGAAGGGAAACCGAGUGUUAAUAGCGCGAAUGAGUAGUAUGCAUAAGACCCGAAGCCAGGUGAGCUUGCCAUGAGCAGGUUGAAGUUUGUCGAAAGACAAAUGGAGGACCGAACCGGUAGAUCGUACAACGUCUUCGGAUGACUUGUGGUAAGGAGUGAAAAGCUAAUCGAACCUGGUAAUAGCUGGUUCUCUCCGAAA
rnacentral:rRNA from 1 species